rnacentral:rRNA from 1 species
GAUGAACGCUGGCGGCGUGCCUAAUACAUGCAAGUCGAGCGAACAGACGAGAGUGCUUGCACUCUCUGACGUUAGCGGCGGACGGGUGAGUAACACGUGGGUAACCUACCUAUAAGACUGGGAUAACUUCGGGAAACCGGAGCUAAUACCGGAUAAUAUUUAGCUUCGCAUGAAGCAAUAGUGAAAGACGGUUCUGCUGUCACUUAUAGAUGGACCCGCGGUGUAUUAGCUAGUUGGUGAGGUAACGGCUCACCAAGGCAACGAUACAUAGCCGACCUGAGAGGGUGAUCGGCCACACUGGGACUGAGACACGGCCCAGACUCCUACGGGAGGCAGCAGUAGGGAAUCUUCCGCAAUGGGCGAAAGUCUGACGGAGCAAUGCCGCGUGAGUGAAGAAGGUUUUCGGAUCGUAAAACUCUGUUGUAAGGGAAGAACAAGUACGUUAGUAACUGAACGUACCUUGACGGUACCUUACCAGAAAGCCACGGCUAACUACGUG